CAGCGCGGUCACGUUACAAUAUAUGUAUACGUGAUGACGUUGCACGUAGCCGUCAUGGGGGCGUGGUGCGCUCUGACAGGUUGUGUUUGUGUCGCUGUGCUGAGGAGAAAGAACGCGCCAAAACUACUUUCUCUUCUUCUGGUUACCUGCAAUAGUUGCUGCCGCCGCCCACUAAAGUCUCUGUUCCCAAUUAACAGAACUAGAUAUUUUUUUCUUGUUUGCCAAUACUAUCUGCUGACACCUGAGCCAAUAUUUGAGCCUCUUCUCUUAGAAGCACAAACAAGAGGCAUAUUUAGGAAAAGACUGAGUUCUUUCUCUGGACCUAAGUCAGUAGUGUGCAGGUUCCCUGUCAGUGCUGCAGCAGAAAGUUCCGGGGCCCCAAAAGGGCGUCGGUGAAGACCAGUGCUGGCAGGGGUUAUACCACAACUUCUGUCACUCACAGUCAAUUACCCAUAAACAGACUUUUAUUUUGGUUCCAGUCUAAGGGCUAAUGUGAAGACUGGGGCAAUACUUUUUCAAUUUUGGGACAAACUAGCAGGGGUUACACCACAACUGCCAUCACCACAGGCAAUUAUCCAUGAUCAGACUUGAUUUGGGUUCCAGUCCAGAGAGUCGGUGAAGACCAGUGCUGGCAGAGAAUAGGACGCAACUACUGUCACCCACAGUCAAUUACCCAUGAACAAUUUUUUUUUGGGUUCCAGUCCAAGGGCUAAUGUGAAGGCUAGGGCAAUAUAUUUUCACAAUUUAGGGGCAAACUAUGAGCUAAGUGCUGGCAGGGGUUACACCACAGCUGCGGUCUCCACAGGCAAUUACCCAUAAACAGACUGUUAAUUUGGGUUCCAGUCCAAGGGUUCAUGUGAAGACUGGGGCAAUAUAUUUUUUUCACAAUUUAGGGACAAAUAGUGGGCUUAUUUAGGAGAAGACUGGGUGAAUUGUAGUUUUUGUUUACACUGGACCUAAGUCAGUAGUGUGCAGGUUCCCUGUCAGUGCUGCAGCAGAAAGUUCCGGGGCCCCAAAAGGGCGUCGGUGAAGACCAGUGCUGGCAGGGGUUAUACCAAAACUGCAGUCACCCACAAUCUGUUACCCAUAAACAGACUCUGUUAGUUACAUUGGGUUUCAGUCCAAGGCUUUAAGUAAAGACUGGAGCAAUAUUUUUUCCACAAUUUAGGGACAAACUUUGGGCUAUUUCAGGAGAAAACUGGGUGAAAUGUACUUUUCAUUUACACUGGACCUAACUCAGAAGGUUCCCUGUCAGUGCUGCAGCAGAAAGUUCCGGGGCCCCAAAAGGGCGUCGGUGAAGACCAGUGCUGGCAGGGUUUACACCACAACUACUGUCACCCACUGUCAAUUACCCAUGAACAGACUUUUAUUUUGGGUUCGAGUCCAAGGGCUAAUGUGAAGACUGGGGCAAUACUUUUUCAAUU